ACCAAAGUCGUUCAGUCAGGAGAGCAUUAGACUGAAGAUCUAGAGGGCCCUGGUUCAAUCCCAGGCUUUGGCA
rnacentral:tRNA from 1 species